rnacentral:rRNA from 1 species
GCGAUACAGGGUGACAGCCCCGUACACAAAAAUGCACAUGCUGUGAGCUCGAUGAGUAGGGCGGGACACGUGGUAUCCUGUCUGAAUAUGGGGGGACCAUCCUCCAAGGCUAAAUACUCCUGACUGACCGAUAGUGAACCAGUACCGUGAGGGAAAGGCGAAAAGAACCCCGGCGAGGGGAGUGAAAAAGAACCUGAAACCGUGUACGUACAAGCAGUGGGAGCCUCUUAAUGGGGUGACUGCGUACCUUUUGUAUAAUGGGUCAGCGACUUAUAUUCUGUAGCAAGGUUAACCGAAUAGGGGAGCCGAAGGGAAACCGAGUCUUAACUGGGCGUUAAGUUGCAGGGUAUAGACCCGAAACCCGGUGAUCUAGCCAUGGGCAGGUUGAAGGUUGGGUAACACUAACUGGAGGACCGAACCGACUAAUGUUGAAAAAUUAGCGGAUGACUUGUGGCUGGGGGUGAAAGGCCAAUCAAACCGGGAGAUAGCUGGUUCUCCCCGAAAGCUAUUUAGGUAGCGCCUCGUGAAUUCAUCUCCGGGGGUAGAGCACUGUUUCGGCAAGGGGGUCAUCCCGACUUACCAACCCGAUGCAAACUGCGAAUACCGGAGAAUGUUAUCACGGGAGACACACGGCGGGUGCUAACGUCCGUCGUGAAGAGGGAAACAACCCAGACCGCCAGCUAAGGUCCCAAAGUCAUGGUUAAGUGGGAAACGAUGUGGGAAGGCCCAGACAGCCAGGAUGUUGGCUUAGAAGCAGCCAUCAUUUAAAGAAAGCGUAAUAGCUCACUGGUCGAGUCGGCCUGCGCGGAAGAUGUAACGGGGCUAAACCAUGCACCGAAGCUGCGGCAGCGACACUAUGUGUUGUUGGGUAGGGGAGCGUUCUGUAAGCCUGUGAAGGUGGCCUGUGAGGGUUGCUGGAGGUAUCAGAAG